CUCUCUAAGGUGCAUUAUGAACUAGAGCCCCCCUACAAAUAAACCAGUGUUCUCUCUCAGGUCCAUUAUGAACUAGAGCCCCCCUACAAAUAAACCAGUGUUCUCUCUAAGGUGCAUUAUGAACUAGAGCCCCCCUACAAAUAAACCACUGUGUUCUCUCUAAGGUCCAUUAUGAACUAGAGCCCCCCUACAAAUAAACCACACAGUUGUUUGCUUCUGUUUUAUUUGUCAUCAGAUAUAAAAAUCAAUGAAUUGAUGUCUGUAUGAUACAGCGUAUAACUGCUACCUACGAACACAACAUGCGGAGACUCUCUUGGUAUCGGGGAAAAAAGCAACAAGUCAUUUUCAAAGUGUGUCAUGUCAACACAAACGAUUACUUGAACUUGAACAUGUAAAUAUAUUGUCAUUAUUAUCCGUAAGAUAGACUGACUGAAAAGUAGAAUUAGUUCACAUCUUUAGUUGUAUUAGGACUAUGCACUAUAGUUGACCCAGUUUGUCUAUGGUUCACAAUGACAGGCCAGAACAACACCUAUGUAUUUACAGCAAAGUGUUAUAGGCUACAUCACUGUUAAAGCCCCAUAGUUUCACUCAGUGUAGGCUACCUGCCCUCACUUACAGUGUAGGCUACCUGCCCUCACUACAGUGUAGGCUACCUGCCCUCACUACAGUGUAGGCUACCUGCCCUCACUACAGUGUAGGCUACCUGCCCUCACUACAGUGUAGGCUACCUGCCCUCACUACAGUGUAGGAUACCUGCCCUCUCACUACAGUGGAGGCUACCUGCCUUCUCACUACGGUGGAGGCUACCUGCCCUCUCACUACAGUGGAGGCUACCUGCCCUCUCACUACAGUGGAGGCUACCUGCCCUCUCACUACAGUGUAGGCUACCUGCCUUCUCACUACGGUGGAGGCUACCUGCCCUCUCACUACAGUGGAGGCUACCUGCCUUCUCACUACGGUGGAGGCUACCUGCCCUCUCAGGACACCAGGGGGAGACAAAUGUCCAUGAAAAAGAAAUACUCCCCUCCAAUCCUGGCCAGAAUCCAUAUGAUUCCAUAUUAUUUAUUCCAUGUUAUAUAUUCCAUGUUAUAUAUUAAAUAUUUAAGUCAUACCAUGGCAACAAUGAUAAUCACCUAAUGUAGAUUCAAGCAAACAUAAAUAAUAUGAUCAUAGUUUAUUUUUGAAUGGCAUCAAUAUUAACAUACCGUAUUGUAUCCACUA
rnacentral:lncRNA from 13 species